CAGGGAGACAACAAAAUGUUUAAUAUUAUUAUUUUGUCACCUUAGGUCGAUCGGUAUCUCACAUUCUUAAUUUAUUAAGGAUUUUAUUUCCUAAGUUUUUUCUAGGUCACACCCAUUACUUUUCCUGGGCCAUUAGCUCAGGUGGUUAGAGCGCACCCCUGAUAAGGGUGAGGUCCCUGGUUCAAGUCCAGGAUGGCCCAUAUCUCUAUGUUGGGGGUAUAGCUCAGUUGGUAGAGCGCCUGCUUUGCAAGCAGGAUGUCAGCGGUUCGAGUCCGCUUACCUCCACUGAUUACCACCUCUUCCAUAAUUAUUAAGGAAAUGUUUUGAGUAGUGAUCAAAUUCUGAACGAAUCUAGCUUCCUAAUGAAUUCAUUAAGAUGCUGGACUCAUUGAUUUAUUUUCAUUGUUUUCAGAGAACCUUGACAACUGCAUAGAUUAUUUUUAAAGACAAUAAGCAUCUUUAUGAUGCAGAUUUAUUAUUUGUGCGAAUGCAUUAAUAACAAUUCUAUUAAGCUGAUGCUUCAAUUAUGAAGUUAUU
rnacentral:tRNA from 1 species